AGAGUUUGAUCCUGGCUCAGGAUGAACGCUAGCUACAGGCUUAACACAUGCAAGGUCGAGGGGAAACGAUAUUGGAAGCUUUGCUUCCGAUAGGCGUCGACCGGCGUACGGGUGAGUAACGCGUAUCCCAACCUGCCCACCACGUUGGGGAUAACCUUGACGAAAGUAAGACUAAUACCCAAUGACGUCUCUAGAAGACAUCUGAAAGAGAUUAAAGACUUAUCGGUGAUGGAUGGGGGAUGCGUCUGAUUAGCUUGUUGGCGGGGUAACGGCCCACCAAGGCGACGAUCAGUAGGGGUUCUGAGAGGAAGGCCCCCCACAUUGGAACUGAGACACGGUCCAAACUCCUACGGGAGGCAGCA
rnacentral:rRNA from 1 species